UACCUGGCGGAGGCCUAACACAUGCAGUCGAACGGUAACAGAAAGAAGCUUGCUUCUUUGCUGACGAGUGGCGGACGGGUGAGUAAUGCUUGGGAAUUUGCCUUGAGGUGGGGGACAACAGUUGGAAACGACUGCUAAUACCGCAUAUUGUCUACGGACUAAAGGGGGCUUCGGCUCUCGCCUUUAGAGAAGCCCAAGUGGGAUUAGGUAGUUGGUGAGGUAAAGGCUCACCAAGCCGACGAUCCCUAGCUGGUCUGAGAGGAUGAUCAGCCACACUGGAACUGAGACACGGUCCAGACUCCUACGGGAGGCAGCAGUGGGGAAUAUUGCACAAUGGGGGAAACCCUGAUGCAGCCAUGCCGCGUGUGUGAAGAAGGCCUUCGGGUUGUAAAGCACUUUCAGUCGUGAGGAAGGGUUAGUAGUUAAUACCUGCUAGCUUUGACGUUAGCGACAGAAGAAGCACCGGCUAACUCCGUGCCAGCAGCCGCGGUAAUACGGAGGGUGCGAGCGUUAAUCGGAAUUACUGGGCGUAAAGCGUACGCAGGCGGUUAGUUAAGUCAGAUGUGAAAGCCCCGGGCUCAACCUGGGAACUGCAUUUGAAACUGGCUAACUAGAGUGCGACAGAGGGUGGUAGAAUUUCAGGUGUAGCGGUGAAAUGCGUAGAGAUCUGAAGGAAUACCGAUGGCGAAGGCAGCCACCUGGGUCGACACUGACGCUCAUGUACGAAAGCGUGGGUAGCAAACAGGAUUAGAUACCCUGGUAGUCCACGCCGUAAACGAUGUCUACUAGCAGCUCGCCUCGUUAGAGGGGUUUUGCGCAGCUAACGCGUUAAGUUGACCGCCUGGGGAGUACGGCCCGCAAGGUUAAAACUCAAAUGAAUUUGACGG
rnacentral:rRNA from 1 species